rnacentral:misc_RNA from 1 species
GAUGAAGAACGCAGCGAAAUGCGAUACGUAAUGUGAAUUGCAGAAUUCAGUGAAUCAUCGAGUCUUUGAACGCACAUUGCGCCCCCUGGUAUUCCGGGGGGCAUGCCUGUCCGAGCGUCAUUGCUGCCCUCAAGCACGGCUUGUGUGUUGGGCCUCCGUCCUCCUCCCGGGGGACGGGCCCGAAAGGCAGCGGCGGCACCGCGUCCGGUCCUCGAGCGUAUGGGGCUUCGUCACCCGCUCUUGUAGGCCCGGCCGGCGCUUGCCGACACAUCAAUCUUUUUUCCAGGUUGACCUCGGAUCAGGUAGGGAUACCCGCUGAACUAAAGCAUAUCAAUAAGCGGAGGA